GGAUGAGGCCAAACCGUAUGCGUGUGAGACCCGGCAGGGGUUGCGUAUACGGGGUUGUGGGAUCUCUCUUCCACGGUCUGCCGGCCGUGGGACGAGUCAGAAACCGUUGAUGUAGGCGAAGGACAUGCGAAAGGUCCGGCGUAGAGGGUAAGACCCCCGUAGUCGAAACGUCAGCGGCUCGUUUGAGAGACACCCAAGUAGCACGGGGCCCGAGAAAUCCCGUGUGAAUCUGGCGGGACCACCCGUUAAGCCUAAAUAUUCCCUGGUGACCGAUAGCGGAUAGUACCGUGAGGGAAUGGUGAAAAGUACCGCGGGAGCGGAGUGAAAUAGUACCUGAAACCGUGUGCCUACAAGCCGUGGGAGCGUCGCGCAGGGAACUUGUUCCUUGCGUCGUGACUGCGUGCCUUUUGAAGAAUGAGCCUGCGAGUUUGCGGUGUGUUGCGAGGUUAACCCGUGUGGGGAAGCCGUAGCGAAAGCGAGUCCGAAUAGGGCGGUGUAGUAGCGCGCUCAAGACCCGAAGCGGAGUGAUCUAGCCAUGGGCAGGUUGAAGCGGAGGUAAGACUUCGUGGAGGACCGAACCCACCAGGGUUGAAAACCUGGGGGAUGACCUGUGGUUAGGGGUGAAAGGCCAAUCAAACUCCGUGAUAGCUGGUUCUCCCCGAAAUGCAUUUAGGUGCAGCGUCGUGUGUUUCUUGCCGGAGGUAGAGCACUGGAUAGGCGAUGGGCCCUACCGGGUUACUGACCUUAGCCAAACUCCGAAUGCCGGUAAGUGAGAGCGCGGCAGUGAGACUGUGGGGGAUAAGCUCCAUGGUCGAGAGGGAAACAGCCCAGAGCAUCGACUAAGGCCCCUAAGCGUACGCUAAGUGGGAAAGGAUGUGGAGUCGCAGAGACAACCAGGAGGUUGGCUUAGAAGCAGCCACCCUUGAAAGAGUGCGUAAUAGGGAAGCGAGUUGUGGACGGUUCACGAGUGAGAAUGCAGGCAUGAGUAGCGAUUCACACGUGGGAAACGUGUGCGCCGAUUGACUAAGGGUUCCUGGGUCAAGCUGAUCUGCCCAGGGUAAGUCGGGACCUAAGGCGAGGCCGACAGGCGUAGUCGAUGGAUAACCGGUUGAUAUUCCGGUACCCGCUGUGAAGCGUCAAACAUCGAGCAUCGUGAUGCUAAGGCCGUGAAGCCGUUCCGGACCCUUCGGGGAAUGGAAAGUGGUGGAGCCGCUGAACCAAGCGGUUAGUAGGUGAGUGAUGGGGUGACGCAGGAAGGUAGUCCAUCCCGGGCGGUGGUUGUCCCGGGGUAAGGGUGUAGCCCGAGUGGUAGGUAAAUCCGCCGCUCUUGCAGGGUGAGACCUGAUGCCGAGCCGAUUGUGGUGAAGUGGAUGAUCCUAUGCUGUCGAGAAAAGCCUCUAGCGAGUUUUAUGGCGGCCCGUACCCUAAACCGACUCAGGUGGUCUGGUAGAGAAUACCGAGGCGUUCGGGUGAACUAUGGUUAAGGAACUCGGCAAAAUGCCCCCGUAACUUCGGGAGAAGGGGGGCCAUUCCUGGUGAUCCAAUUUUCUUGGUGAGCUGGGGGUGGCCGCAGAGACCAGCGAGAAGCGACUGUUUACUAAAAACACAGGUCCGUGCGAAGCCGUAAGGCGAUGUAUACGGACUGACGCCUGCCCGGUGCUGGAACGUUAAGGGGACCGGUUAGCUCACUUUCGGGUGGGCGAAGCUGAGAACUUAAGCGCCAGUAAACGGCGGUGGUAACUAUAACCAUCCUAAGGUAGCGAAAUUCCUUGUCGGGUAAGUUCCGACCUGCACGAAUGGCGUAACGACUUCUCGACUGUCUCAACCAUAGGCCCGGUGAAAUUGCACUACGAGUAAAGAUGCUCGUUUCGCGCAGCAGGACGGAAAGACCCCGGGACCUUUACUACAGUUUGAUAUUGGUGUUCGGUUCGGCUUGUGUAGGAUAGCUGGGAGACUGUGAAGCGUGGACGCCAGUUCAUGUGGAGUCGUCGUUGAAAUACCAGUCUGGUCGUGCUGGAUGUCUAACCUGGGUCCGUGAUCCGGAUCAGGGACAGUGUCUGAUGGGUAGUUUAACUGGGGCGGUUGCCUCCUAAAGGGUAACGGAGGCGCCCAAAGGUUCCCUCAGCCUGGUUGGCAAUCAGGUGUUGAGUGUAAGUGCACAAGGGAGCUUGACUGUGAGACCGACGGGUCGAGCAGGGACGAAAGUCGGGACUAGUGAUCCGGCGGUGGCUUGUGGAAGCGCCGUCGCUCAACGGAUAAAAGGUACCCCGGGGAUAACAGGCUGAUCUUCCCCAAGAGUCCAUAUCGACGGGAUGGUUUGGCACCUCGAUGUCGGCUCGUCGCAUCCUGGGGCUGGAGUCGGUCCCAAGGGUUGGGCUGUUCGCCCAUUAAAGCGGUACGCGAGCUGGGUUUAGAACGUCGUGAGACAGUUCGGUCCCUAUCCGCUGUGCGCGUAGGAGUCUUGAGAAGGGCUGUCCCUAGUACGAGAGGACCGGGACGGACGAACCUCUGGUGUGCCAGUUGUUCUGCCAAGGGCAUGGCUGGUUGGCUACGUUCGGGAGGGAUAACCGCUGAAAGCAUCUAAGCGGGAAGCCUGCUUCGAGAUGAGGACUCCCACCCACUUGAUGGGGUAAGGCUCCCAGUAGACGACUGGGUUGAUAGGCCAGGUCUGGAAGCCCGGUAACGGGUGGAGGUGACUGGUACUAAUAGGCCGAGGGCUUGUCCUCAGUUG
rnacentral:rRNA from 1 species